UGCGUAGGUGGCGUGUUAAGUCAGUGGUGAAAGCCUGCAGCUCAACUGUAGAGGUGCCAUUGAUACUGACAUGCUUGAGUAUGGACGAGGUAGGCGGAAUUUGUGGUGUAGCGGUGAAAUGCAUAGAUACCACAAAGAACACCGAUAGCGAAGGCAGCUUACUGGACCAUAACUGACACUGAGGCACGAAAGCGCGGGGAGCGAACAGGAUUAGAUACCCUGGUAGUCC
rnacentral:rRNA from 1 species